GCGGGAGGUGGCGUAGAACGAACAAGGGACUUGGGCCGACGACCUUUUCGUCCCUGGAGUAUACUGCAUGAUAAACACAGGAACUCAGAUGGAUUUAGAGGUUAAAGGAGUUGCUGCCACUUCUAGGAGCCAAAUUCAGCCAUUCUUUGGAAGAAAGAAGCCUCUACAACAAAGGUGGACUUCUGAGUCAUGGACAAACCAGAAUUCUUGCCCACCAGUGAUCAGAACACAAUACCUGAAAAUUUGCCAGCACCAACA
rnacentral:lncRNA from 1 species